rnacentral:misc_RNA from 1 species
CCAUUUUGAUGUCAAUCCUAAAGGAUGGAGGUUGUUUGCUGAUCUUUUGGAAAAUGCUGCCUUUGGAUUGGAGAUUUUGACUCCUGCUUUUCCUCAUCUCUUUGUUUUCAUUGGUGCUGCUGCUGGAGCUGGGCGCUCUGCUGCUGCUCUUAUCCAGGCUGCUACAAGGAGCUGUUUCUAUGCUGGUUUUGCUGCUCAAAGGAACUUUGCUGAGGUAAUUGCAAAGGGUGAAGCUCAAGGAAUGGUGAGCAAGUUUAUAGGCAUCAUGCUUGGUAUAGCACUAG